rnacentral:lncRNA from 1 species
GAAGAUGUCGUUGUGCUGCUGCAGGAGGUCGGCCAAGAGGGGAUGCGCCUCGUCCAGUGCGGACGCCAUCAACUGGAGCUGUGGAGUCACGGCGCCGGAGCCGCCGAUGCCUGUCCACUGAACACGACGGCCGCCCUCGCGCCAGAAGAUGAGGGACAGCACAUCGAGGUCCCAAAGGAUGGGGCCGAGAGUGGACAGGAAGUCGAUGCCGAGGAUGAAGUCGUAGCAGCCCAGGUCGAUGCCGACGCAGUCGAUGGAGAACGGCUCGUCGCCGAUGAGGACGGGAACCUGCCGCGCCACCCCCUGGCAAGCAAGGCGGUCCCCGUUGGCGACGGU